UACGUAGGGGGCAAGCGUUGUCCGGAAUCAUUGGGCGUAAAGAGCGUGUAGGCGGUCCGGUAAGUCGGCUGUGAAAGUCCAGGGCUCAACCCUGGGAUGCCGGUCGAUACUGCCGGACUAGAGUUCGGAAGAGGCGAGUGGAAUUCCCCGGUGUAGCGGUGAAAUGCGCAGAUAUCGGGAGGAACACCUAUGGCGAAGGCAGCUCGCUGGGACGUUACUGACGCUGAGAACGCGAAAGCGUGGGGAGCAAACAGG
rnacentral:rRNA from 1 species